rnacentral:rRNA from 1 species
UCCGGAGGGCGCGACCGUUAAUCGGAAUCACUGGGCGUAAAGCGCGCGUAGGUGGUCCGUUAAGUCGGAUGUGAAAGCCCUGGGCUUAACCUGGGAAUUGCAUUCGAUACUGGGGGACUUGGAGUGUGGUAGAGGGAAGUGGAAUUCCCGGUGUAGCGGUGAAAUGCGUAGAUAUCGGGGGGAACCCCAGUGGCGGAGGCGGCUUCCUGGACCAACACCGACACCGAGGCGCGAAAGCGUGGGGAGCAAACAGG